rnacentral:rRNA from 1 species
GAUGAACGCUGGCGGCGUGCCUAAUACAUGCAAGUCGAGCGAACGGACGAGAAGCUUGCUUCUCUGAUGUUAGCGGCGGACGGGUGAGUAACACGUGGAUAACCUACCUAUAAGACUGGGAUAACUUCGGGAAACCGGAGCUAAUACCGGAUAAUAUUUUGAACCGCAUGGUUCAAAAGUGAAAGACGGUCUUGCUGUCACUUAUAGAUGGAUCCGCGCUGCAUUAGCUAGUUGGUAAGGUAACGGCUUACCAAGGCAACGAUGCAUAGCCGACCUGAGAGGGUGAUCGGCCACACUGGAACUGAGACACGGUCCAGACUCCUACGGGAGGCAGCAGUAGGGAAUCUUCCGCAAUGGGCGAAAGCCUGACGGAGCAACGCCGCGUGAGUGAUGAAGGUCUUCGGAUCGUAAAACUCUGUUAUUAGGGAAGAACAUAUGUGUAAGUAACUGUGCACAUCUUGACGGUACCUAAUCAGAAAGCCACGGCUAACUACGUGCCAGCAGCCGCGGUAAUACGUAGGUGGCAAGCGUUAUCCGGAAUUAUUGGGCGUAAAGCGCGCGUAGGCGGUUUUUUAAGUCUGAUGUGAAAGCCCACGGCUCAACCGUGGAGGGUCAUUGGAAACUGGAAAACUUGAGUGCAGAAGAGGAAAGUGGAAUUCCAUGUGUAGCGGUGAAAUGCGCAGAGAUAUGGAGGAACACCAGUGGCGAAGGCGACUUUCUGGUCUGUAACUGACGCUGAUGUGCGAAAGCGUGGGGAUCAAACAGGAUUAGAUACCCUGGUAGUCCACGCCGUAAACGAUGAGUGCUAAGUGUUAGGGGGUUUCCGCCCCUUAGUGCUGCAGCUAACGCAUUAAGCACUCCGCCUGGGGGGUACGACCGCAAGGUUGAAACUCAAAGGAAUUGACGGGGACCCGCACAAGCGGUGGAGCAUGUGGUUUAAUUCGAAGCAACGCGAAGAACCUUACCAAAUCUUGACAUCCUUUGACAACUCUAGAGAUAGAGCCUUCCCCUUCGGGGGACAAGGUGACAGGUGGUGCAUGGUUGUCGUCAGCUCGUGUCGUGAGAUGUUGGGUUAAGUCCCGCAACGAGCGCAACCCUUAAGCUUAGUUGCCAUCAUUAAGUUGGGCACUCUAAGUUGACUGCCGGUGACAAACCGGAGGAAGGUGGGGAUGACGUCAAAUCAUCAUGCCCCUUAUGAUUUGGGCUACACACGUGCUACAAUGGACAAUACAAAGGGCAGCGAAACCGCGAGGUCAAGCAAAUCCCAUAAAGUUGUUCUCAGUUCGGAUUGUAGUCUGCAACUCGACUACAUGAAGCUGGAAUCGCUAGUAAUCGUAGAUCAGCACGCUACGGUGAGUACGUUCCCGGGUCU